CCUACGGUAGGCAGCAGUGAGGAAUAUUGGUCAAUGGGCGCGAGCCUGAACCAGCCCAGUAGCGUGAAGGAUGACUGCCCUACGGACUGUACACUUCUUUUAUCAAGGAAUCAAGUGAGGCACGUGUGCCUUUUUGUAUGUCCUUUUUCAAUCCGGCUCGGCUAACUACGUGCCCGCAGCCGCGGUAAUACGUAGGGGGUAAGCGUUAUCCGGAUUUACUGGGUGUUAAGGGGGCGCAGUCGGCAAUGCAAGCCAGGAGGGAAAGCCCGGGGCCCAACCCCGGGAGUGCUCUUGGAACUGCAUGGCUGGAGGACAGGAGGGGCAGGCGGAAGUACUAGUGUAGCGGUGAAAUGCGUAGAUAUAAGGAGGAACACCGGUGGCGAAGGCGGCCUGCUGGACUGUGACUGACGUUGAGGCCCGAAGGCGUGGGGAGCAAACAGGAUUAGAUACCCUAGUAGUC
rnacentral:rRNA from 1 species